rnacentral:rRNA from 1 species
UGGGGAAUAUUGCACAAUGGGGGAAACCCUGAUGCAGCGACGCCGCGUGUGCGAAGAAGGCUUUCGAGUCGUAAAGCUCUGUCCUAUGAGAAGAUAAUGACGGUAUCAUAGGAGGAAGCCCUGGCUAAAUACGUGCCAGCAGCCGCGGUAAUACGUAUGGGGCGAGCGUUGUCCGGAAUUAUUGGGCGUAAAGGGUACGUAGGCGGUUUUUUAAGUCAGGUGUCAAAGCGUGGAGCUUAACUCCAUUAAGCACUUGAAACUGAAAGACUUGAGUGAAGGAGAGGAAAGUGGAAUUCCUAGUGUAGCGGUGAAAUGCGUAGAUAUUAGGAGGAAUACCGGUGGCGAAGGCGACUUUCUGGACUUUUACUGACGCUCAGGUACGAAAGCGUGGGGAGCAAACAGG